rnacentral:misc_RNA from 1 species
UAAUAAGUGUUUUAUGGCACUUUUUAAAUCCAUAUCCACCUUGUGUGCAAUGUCAGUCGAUCUUCUUCAUGGGAGAUCGACCAAGCAUCAACCCUUUAUCUUUUAACUCUUUGUCUCUAAAAAUAUAUUAAUGAACAUAAACAAUUCAAAAUAC